UUCCUGUGACUUAUAACACGUGAUCGUCCAUACAAAAAGAUAAAACAUUUUUCCACUUCUAAAUAUUUUCCAUUCUCCAUGAUAUUUAGUAUGUUAUUGACACAAUGAAAAACUAGGUUUAUAGAAGUGUUGUAAAUAUGCAAAAGACUACGGACUUGUUAAUGUUUAUUUUUAGACUGAAUUCUAACAAAAAAAUGUUUUAAGUGAAAACCUACCGUUUUAAAAUACAUAAAUACAGUGACAUAAACAAUAAAAACUGGCAAGUGAAUAGAAAUGUGAACAUUGUAAAUAUAAAGUGACCGUUUCUACGUUUAAAAUUACUUGGACUUUGACCGCUGCCAUAGGAUCUUGCU